UACAGAGGGUGCAAGCGUUGUUCGGAAUUAUUGGGCGUAAAGAGCUCGUAGGCGGUCUGUUGCGUCGGCUGUGAAAACCCGGGGCUCAACUCCGGGCCUGCAGCCGAUACGGGCAGACUAGAGUUCGGCAGGGGAGACUGGAAUUCCUGGUGUAGCGGUGAAAUGCGCAGAUAUCAGGAGGAACACCGGUGGCGAAGGCGGGUCUCUGGGCCGAUACUGACGCUGAGGAGCGAAAGCGUGGGGAGCGAACAGG
rnacentral:rRNA from 1 species